rnacentral:hammerhead_ribozyme from 1 species
AUCCGGUGACGAGUCCUAAAUAGAACGAAAUGCGCAUCCUGGAU